UACGGCCAUAUCGCUUUGAAACACCAGUUACCGUACGAUCGGCGAAUUUAAGUUACGUCGAUCCUAGUCAGUAUCUGGAUGGGUAAACACUUGGGAAUACCAUGUACUGUAAG